CUUUCCUUUCUGCCUUGUGUAAAACUUUGUAACGGUCAUAUCAGAGUAUGUCGUUAUGCUCGCGUUGCGUGGCGCUAGCGUCCCAUCACUUAAAUUGUUGUGUUGUCAUUUCAGUUUCCAGUGCUCGCCGUUUUUGACCGUUUGGCGCUCGUGUCGCUUUGUGGGUUAGUGUAUUUUAUCGAUGAACACUGCCAUCGUGGGGUCAAAUCGACUUUAUAUGUGGGGCAGUCUCCAUUGUGGCGCUGAGAUACACUUAAAUCCUUUACACACGAUUUCGACGUAUUUUUGUUCGAGCUUAAACGCCUCCCGCAUAGAAAAAUACAAUUUGCCAUAACGUUCAAACAACAAACUUCAUCCAACUCUUAAGGUCACAUUUUCCCAAUGUGUUAAGUGUAAGUUGAACAAUAAGAAACCCAAAGCUGUAGACUAUUACCAACAGUUUGAGAACAUCAUGUCAGUUGGUUACAAAAUGUUGUAGUACCCAGAUAUUGUUUAACGACAUGCGAAUGAAAACUGAUGUGCAAUGGUGGAAAUAUGGAGUCACAUCACGACAAAUAGUUGAUUUUUAUAUUUGCACAACACACGCAUACAUUGACUUUUUACUAUAGAUUACAUUUUUGCAACAAUUUGCUAAAUUGUUGCGCCUAAUUGUAUUUGUGAGCAACAGUAUUGAAGAAAAAAUCGUUUUUUCUCAAACUUUUGGCUUGCGUUCGUGAGCUUACGCUUCCUCAUUUCACACGUAAUAUUCCACAAAAGCUUGUCUGAAAAAAAAAAUCGUUGAGAAAAUGCGGUAUAAUAUUACAUACAUAUAUUUUUUAUGACAUUCCUUUAUUAUUGCGCAACAAAGUGCACCGAUAAUACAAUUUUAUCAUUUAAUUUAAUACUUUUUAUCAAGGUUUUCAUAAUCUUAAAAAAAAACGUAUUUGAAAUUUCUUACUAUACUUUUUUGGGAUAUGCCCUUUUCAAAAGUUACUGUUGUUGUGCCAGCUGCGGCAAGCGCGAGCUGAUGGAUCACAACCUGAAAAUCACAACAGGACGGCAACAAAAUUCUGAUGGCCGAUGGCCAAACCAUCCCCGAGGACUCCUCCUCCUGGAUACAGCGAUUACGAACAUCGAGGGACACAUGGAUUUCUAAAGGUUGCGGGAAAAGUAUCGGACGCUGAAAAUUCGCAGCGCACAAUCGUGGUAAAAAGUGAUCCGCAUAUUACCAUCCUACCCGAUUCCGGUUCCAUAGCAACAGCAACCACCACAGCCUCAACCAACAACUGCUGAUGUUUAGUAGAAGCUACCAAAAUAUGGAAGCGGAUUGCUUCCGGUGAACGCAAGAACUUCGUCAGCAGCAUCGGAGUCUGAUUUUGACUGCAACUAUGGUCUGCAAUUGCAGCUGCUCUCUCGCGUUUACACGGCUGAUUCUGCUGGACGAGAAGCUGGCAAAUGACAACAAGCUUCACAACGUCAUACCAACCGGCACACUGAACGAAAACGCCCGCCGUACAAAGAAUGAUUCUUCAUUCAAUGCGGUACAGACCCGCAAAAUCUGAAUUUUAAAUGAUUUCUCAGCAGAAUGAUUUGACUGCCUUCGAUUGAACCAAAAUCAUCCUGUAAUAAAACUAAAAUUGACACAAUUAA